AGCAAUAGCAGGCGGGCGGCGUAACGUGCGUAACAUAAAGAGGCGUGGUCAACUCCACACGCAUGCGCAGCGCAAGAUGCAAAAUGCUCGCGAGAGUAUCUUGGAUAACCCCCAUAGCCCGAUGAUGCUGCCGCUUCUCACCGCUCACCGCUGACCAAAGCUCACUGCCGUACGCUGCACCGCCACUGAAAGCUGACCACCGCAGACCACAACUGGCGGUGGUCAGAGGGACAUCAACGCCGCUGCAACAAAGGACAGCUUAGUACCGCCGCAUCCACCGCAGACCAUGGGCUCCACCGCCGCCGACAGUCCCUUCCUCACCUCCGCUGCACAUAUCAGCAAAACACCUACCGAAGCCGGACAUCAAUGUGCAAAGACAUAGGCACAUGUAUGUAUGCAACGCUCGUUCAAAUCAGACAUCUUAGGCUAUAACACUGUCCCAGCAUACUCUAUAGGUUGAAUGUCGUCCCACACCCAACCAGUGGUCCCUUGACCGAAGAGUGCAGGAUGUCUCGUCCUCCCCCCUGUCUUCCCCAACAAUAGUCAAUGUUGGAUUUGCGAAAUAAGUACAUACAUGUGUCUCGGUCACCUGUUAUGUGUUUUGAAAUAUUUUCUGUUUUGUUAGUAAUUUAUGAGUUAUUGUUUACUGUCAAAGGGUGGACUGUCGAAGUCAAAAAUAUAACACACACCCACUACGUGCAAACACCACACAGAGUGGCCUCUGCGUGCGCGUUUUUGCCAUGCGUACGCAUACCAACAGGCUACGUACACUGCUACACGAGCCUUGCACAUUGGCGUGUGGUAUGAGUAUAUACGGUAGCAUACGCAUUUGCACAGAAAAGCUACAAAGACACAUUCAAUAUUCAAUUCAUAUAGUGCAUAAUUUACACAUAGGCCCUCAUUCCGAGUUGUUCGCUCGUUAUUUUUCUUCGCAUCGGUGCGAUUUUCCGCUAACUGCGCAUGCGCAAUGUUCGCACUGUGGCUGCGUUAAGUAAAUUUGCUAAGAAGUUUGGUAUUUUACUCACGGCAUUACAAGGUUUUAUCUUCGCUCUGGUGAUCGGAGUGUGAUUGACAGGAAGUGGGUGUUUCUGGGCGGAAACUGACCGUUUUAUGGGUGUGUGUGAAAAAACGCUGCCGUUUCUGGGAAAAACGCGGGAGUGGCUGGAGAAACGGGGGAGUGUCUGGGCGAACGCUGGGUGUGUUUGUGACGUCAAACCAGGAAUGAAACUGACUGAACUGAUCGCAGUGGCAGAGUAAGUGUCGAGCUACUCAGAAACUGCUAAGAAAUUUCUAUUCGCAAUUUUGAGAAUCUUUCGUUCGCAAUUCUGCUAAGAUACACUCCCAGAGGGCGGCGGCUUAGCGUGUGCAAUGCUGCUAAAAGCUUGCGAGCGAACAACUCGGAAUGAGGGCCAUAGUCCCCACACACAUUUCCAGCAAGUUACAUUUGCUCAAAGGGUAGAACAAUAGAGAUAUCCAGCUUUACAGGAUGUGAGGGGACAGAGCAAGGUUAGUAUUUAGUGUUUGGUAUCCAGAUGUGCAGUAUUUCGAGAUCUAUGUUCCGGUUGUUAUGUGCAGUUAAUUGCAUGUUUCUGCACAUAGAUAUGCACAGAAUUGUAACAUUCACAAAUACUGUAAAUACUGUACUCAUGAUAUUCGUCGGGAACCCGGUGGUGGAGACCUGCAAGCACACUUGGACCAAGCAUCGCCCACUCAUUCAAACCAACCUAUGACCCCUCAUGUACUGUAAAUGACCUGCCCCUUGACCUAUGGAAGAAGAGCUUACAGUCCCCAUUGUAUUGAAUUUGGACCCAUUGUAUAAAAGAAAGGCUCCCUGACCAGGCUCAGUCUAUUCUCUGAAGGUCAUCUUGCUAAGACUGACUGAUGCCUGGAUCCGGGAACGCUGGCGAACAAACAUAUGUACUAUUGGUUGUAGCUCUUCCCUGUAUUACUGUUGUAUCUUUACUUGUAUCUUUUGAGUAAAUAUUGUUGAUGCGUUGGACCACAACAUAACAUUUAACUACUGGUGUCACAUUCCAUUCUUGUUUGGGGAUAAGGUGUAUUCAGCCACACGUGUCACUGCAUUGUGCGCACAGCGUCUCGUCGUGAUAUACGCAACAUGCAUACACAUCUUAGCGGUUCUUGUGUACGUGUAGCGGCCGCAGCGUGAUUAGGUAUUGCAUUUUCCUUGUAAGUAAAUGGAACUUUAC